rnacentral:rRNA from 1 species
AAGUUUUUUUGGAAAUUUUAUUAGUUAAUAUUGCAUAUUAAAAUAAGAUGUUAUAAUUUUUUUAUUAUUAAUAGAAAGAAUCUGUAAAAUUUAAUUUAUUUUUAUUGUUAUAAAAUUAAUUUUAAUUUUAUUUUGGUGUUGAAAAAUCGUAGUUUCUUAUAUCUGUUUGGUUUUUUUAUUAGUUAAGUUAAUUUUUUUUAUGAUUUUUUUUAUGAUUUUGUAUAAUUUUGUGUAUUUGUUUUUUUGUGUUUUUGACAUAUAUUUAUAAUUUUUUGUUAAUUUUUAUAAUAAAUUUUUAUUAUUUUUAUAAUUUAUUUUUUAGUAAUUUUUAUUGUUUUAAAAUUAUUUUUUUUUUUUAAUUUAUUGUAAAGAAAUUUAUUUUUUGUAAAAUGUUUAUUAAAAACUAAUGAUUUUUUUUAAAAUUUUCUUCUGCCCUAUGUUGUAUAAAUGGCGGCCAUAGCGUGACGGUAAUAAAGUAGCAUAGUGAUUUGUUAUUUUAUUAGUUUCUGGGUAUGAUUGGGGGGUUUUAUGAAUUAUUUUUUUAAUUUUUUUUUGAAUUAUUUUUUUCUUAAAAAUUAGAAUUUUUAUUAAUACAAAGAUAAGUCUUCGGAAACUUAUUUAUUUUUUUAUAAAAAAAAAUAAUUUUCUUGGGGGUGGAUUUUAUAAAAUUUUUUUAUCUAUUUUUAAUUUUUAUAAGUUACUCCGGAGUUAACAGAGUAAGUAGAUUUUUAUGCAGAUGUUAUGUUAAAAGCUACACUACAUCGAUGUUGUAUACUUAUUUUUAAUGGUAGGAGAAUUUAUUUUAAUUAAGACUGUUCUUCUUUUAUAAAAAUGAGACUUGAUAUUAGUUUAGUUCGUCGUAAGACAGAGCGGUUUAUCUUGAUUAUUAUUUAUUUUUAAAGGUGUUAGUACGAAUGGAAAAUAACUUUAGUUUUAGUUUAUGACUGUUUUAUAAAUUUUUAAAAUUUUAUUU